rnacentral:rRNA from 1 species
UACGUAGGGUGCAAGCGUUGUCCGGAUUUAUUGGGCGUAAAGAGCGUGUAGGCGGCCAGACAAGUCUGCUGUGAAAACUCGAGGCUCAACCUCGAGCUGUCGGUGGAAACUGUCUGGCUAGAGUCCGGAAGAGGAUAGUGGAAUUCCUAGUGUAGAGGUGAAAUUCUUAGAUAUUAGGAGGAACACCGGUGGCGAAAGCGACUAUCUGGAACGUUACUGACGCUGAGGCGCGAAAGCGUGGGGAGCAAACAGG